rnacentral:rRNA from 1 species
GUGCCCUACGGGGGGCAGCAGUGGGGAAUAUUGCACAAUGGGGGAAACCCUGAUGCAGAGACGCGGCGUGAGUGAGGAAGUAUUUCGGUAUGUAAAGCUCUAUCAGCAGGGAAGAAAAUGCCGGUACCUGAGUAAGAAGCCCCGGCUAACUACGUGCCAGCGGCGGCGGUAAUACGUAGGGGGCAAGCGUUAUCCGGAUUUACUGGGUGUAAAGGGAGCGUAGACGGAGGAGAAAGUCUGAUGUGAAAAU